rnacentral:rRNA from 1 species
UACGGGGGGAGCAAGCGUUGUUCGGAUUUACUGGGCGUAAAGGGCGGGUAGGCGGCCACCGCAAGUCAGUUGUGAAAUCUCUGGGCUUAACCCAGAAAGGUCAACUGAUACUGUGCGACUAGAGUGCAGAAGGGGCAACUGGAAUUCUCGGUGUAGCGGUGAAAUGCGUAGAUAUCGAGAGGAACACCUGCGGCGAAGGCGGGUCGCUGGGCUGACACUGACGCUGAUGCGCGAAAGCCAGGGGAGCGAACGGG